AUUGAACGCUGGCGGCAGGCCUAACACAUGCAAGUCGAGCGAGCGGCGGACGGGAGAGUAAUGUAUGGGGAUCGGCACGAUGGAGGGGGAUAACUACUGGAAACGGUGACUAAUACCGCAUACUAUCGGAUGAACCCCUAGUGGAUUAGCUAGUAGGUGGGGUAAAGGCUCACCUAGGCGACGAUCUCUAGCUGGUCUGCGAGGAUGAUCAGUCACACUGGGACUGAGACACGGCCCAGACUCCGACGGGAGGCAGCAGUGGGGAAUAUUGGACAAUGGGCGCAAGCCUGAUGCAGCCAUGCCGCGUGUAUGAAGAAGGCCUUAGGGUUGUAAAGCACUUUCAGCGGGGAGGCGUUACCCGCAGAAGAAGCACCGGCUAACUCCGUGCCAGCAGCCGCGGUAAUUC
rnacentral:rRNA from 1 species